UACGUAGGGUGCAAGCGUUGUCCGGAAUUAUUGGGCGUAAAGAGAACGUAGGCGGUUUGUUAAGUUUGGGCUUAAAGACUGGGGCUCAACCCCAGGAGUGGCUCGAAAACUGACAGACUAGAGGAUGGCAGAGGAAAGUGGAAUUCCCAGUGUAGCGGUGAAAUGCGUAGAUAUUGGGAGGAACACCAGUGGCGAAAGCGACUUUCUGGGCCAUUCCUGACGCUGAGGUUCGAAAGCUCGGGGAGCAAACAGG
rnacentral:rRNA from 1 species